rnacentral:lncRNA from 1 species
CGGCCACGGCGGAGGCCCCGAGGUAAGGACGCGCGCGCCCUCGCCGCUGCCACGGCCACGCGCCCGGGCCGCCGCGCCCCACCGCGCGGACCCCUCACUCCAGACCCUGUUCACCCCCGCCCCCGGGGCCCGUACUCCAACCCCACGUCCCCCGCAGCCCGGGGACUCCCGCGUUCUACCCGCCGCCUCCUCGCUCCAGACCUUGCCCCUUUCCCCGGGCUCAGGCCUUACUCAUUCCGGCUGGCGCCUACCUUGCAGAUCUCACGGUCCUCCCCGACCCCCUGACUCCAGAGCUCGCUGUUCUCCACGGACCCCUCACUCCAGACUCUGCUGUCCUCCACGGACCUCUCACUCCAGACCCUCCUGCCCACUCCCGGUGUGCCCUGACUCCAGACCCUGCUGUCCUCCACUGUCUCCUGACUCCAGACCCCACUGCCCACUCCCCAGGUCCCCCACCCUCCAUCUUUCACCGUGGACCCCUGCCCCAGCGCAACCACCCAUUUCUGGCUUUGUGGUGUUGAAGGCCCUGAGGGAAGAGCAGGGGCUGGGGGGUGGGGAGCACUGGGGUGGGGAAGGGGCGUGCGGCCCAAGACCCGCAGCAGGAGGGGUCUCGUCCAGGGUGACCUGUUGCAGGGCACUGCUUGGGAACUGCUGCCUCGGUGUGGCUGUGCCCUCCCCCUUCCGCCCUUGCCACCGGUUUUGUUUUCCGGAAACACUUCGGAUCAGGGAGGGGGUGAGGUGUCUAUGCUCCCGGGGCGGUGGCCACGCUGAUCUCCCUGCCCCCUUCUGCCCCAACUUUCUGGGGAAGCUUUCAUGUUAGGGGCUGUCGUCCUAGGCAGGCUUGGGGGUUCUUGGCCUCUGGAUGGCAUUGUUUGUGGGCAGUGGCCCUGGAGGGCUCCAGCACUUUGUUCCCAGUCUCCCCACAGAGGACCCUGGCCUCCGGGGGUGGCCACACAUCGUCCAUCUGCUGGGGCCCCAUCUGCGUGGGUCCUCUGUCCCUACCCUGAAGGACAUGGCCAGGCUCAGGCCCCUGUAGCUCGUGGGUGUGAGAGAUGAGUGGGAACACAAAGGCUCCAGUGUAGGGGGGUGAUGUCCGCAGGGACCUGAUCUGGUCGCCGAAGGAGGUGGUGUCUGUGACGAGAACGGAUUGGGAGCCAGCCCCGCAGGUUUGAAAGGGGGAAGUUUGCGGUUUCCCUGGUAGUUUGUUUUUGUUUUUCGCUCGUGUCUCCAAAUCGUGCCCCCGGAAAGGGACCCCCAGGCUCUGCAAGUAGAUGGGCAGGGUGAUGGCUGGGGACUGACUGCAGCACCUCUGGGAGUGCAUAGGGGGUGCACACACCUGAGAUGAUCUGCCCCCCCCUUCCCAGAAUGGUGUCAGUAGCCCCGAUAAUUGGAAGGGGCUGGGGGGCCCCGCUGUGUGUGCUGCAUUUGGCUGAUGGAAGUGUGACCUGCGUGGGGCCGUGGGGAGGGAGGUGUGAGAGGAGCUGGCUGGACACACCCGCCCCGCCCCAGCGGUGGGCAGAACCCCAGGGGCUCCGGGCUCGCAGUAGUCAUGGGGCACAGAGCUUGCUUUUUCUGCCUCAGGGUGGCAGUCGGACCUUCUUGGGUAAAGGGGCUUGUGGUCGGAUUUUGACUACUUCUCAUUUCUCUCGAGCGGAUUGGGGAUGAGCGUCUCGUUGCCUGGUCCUGGGCGUGUCCCUGCUCGGGGAGGACAGAGCCCCUGUGAAGACAGACUUCUUCGAACUCCUGGUUCCGGUUCCAGCUGGCUUUCCUCCUUUUCCUCUUAAUUACAUAGUAAUUAUCUGUGGGUCGAGAGAGGAAGUAGGUGAGGUGUGUUUUUUUUUUUGUUUUUUUUUUUAAGUUGAAAGCCUUCCCAUCUACUCAUCCCCGCUCUGGGGAGACACCUACGGUGUCACCUGUGUCCAUGGGGAUUUCCUGGUGGGUCUGAGUAAAUGCUUGGGACAGGUCUGGGGGCCCCCGCCGACCCGGUUCCCUCAGGGCUGUCUGUACUUACGGAGGGUGACGUUUCUCCUGGGAUGCCCAGUAACUUCUUGUCCCGUGAUUGACUUUGGUGCCCAUCCCCCGGCCCCCAUGGAGCUGUCCCAGGCCACCUCACGAGCAGCCAGGGUCCCUCGUCCUGGUUGUGGUGGGUUCUUGGUACAUUCAUUCCAGGUGGGCCCUGAAAACCCAGGCCUGAGCAGCUGGGGCUCCGUCUCCUCCUGUGAGGAGUUAGAAGUCCAUCAAGGCCCUGGGUCAGGUGAUGGGCAGAGGGCUGGGGAAGGAGCAGGAGAGACGGGGUGCUGGGGGCCGCCAGCCUUCAGGCCUUUGGUGGCAUUGGGCAGGCCAGUGUGGGCGUGCUGGUUGGGGUUGGGGUCCGCGUCAGUGUCGGGUGGCCCGUCGCACCCGACGGAUGCCUUGGGGUCUUGGGCUACGCAGCGGGACAUGCCAGGGAGCGCUCUGAUGACUGGUCGGCAAUGUUGACGUGUGGCACACUCUGUGAACCUUCGGGGAAGGGGACACCCGAACCAAGUCUUGGUUGGCGUGGGAGGACCCCACCUAGGGCGGUUUCGAGUCUGCUCCCUUCCCCUUUGGGGGCUUGGGGAGCCCGUGCCGGGCCGAGCCCUGAGUGACCCUCUGUGUGUGGAAGACAGCGCGCACGCCUGUGCUCCCCGGUGCCCGCGGGACCGGCCCACGCAGGAGUGGGUGUGGCGGGAGCCUGCUUGUAAGCACUCCCCUGCCCUCACUCUCCCCGUGGAUGGUGGCCUGCCUUUACGUGUCUCUCCUGCCCGGCUUCUACAGAAGCUUCUGGUGCAGGCCGUGCUCGCGCAGGGCCCUAGUGGCGUGGGGGUCCACACGCAGGGCCGGAGGCGCCGUCACAGGGUGGGGAUGACAGCACAUCUUUUCCUUGCUCAGAAACCCCGUGUCUUCCUGCUCCCAAGAACAGACCGUGGCUCUGGGCCCGGCUGUCACGCCGCUCCUGUCCAGGCCUUGUUUGGGGUCCCCUUCUCUGGAAUGCCUCCCACGUGUUCUGUUCAACCUCAGGGGGGCAGCCGGAGGUCCCCUCUGGGAGCCUUCCACCUUGGGACAGGUCCUUUCCCUUCUGGAAGCUCGGCCGCAGCCAUAGUCGAAUGCUGGGUUAUUCCUGUGAGUUCCUGGUGGCGCGAGAAGGCAGUCAAGUCAACUAGCAGGCCGGAGCUGGGGUGCAAGGUCGGCUCUCAGGUUACACCUCCCGAGGUUCUCGAGAGCCGCAGUGACCCGGAGGAGUGAGUCCCUCAGCGGAGAGGGUGGCCGUGGGGACCAGCGUGGACAGAGUGCGUGCAGGGGAGGGUGGGGAAGGGACGCCUCACUACCUUGGGUGGACACCCAGGGGCCAUCGCUCCCCACCACCCCCCCCCCCCCCCCGGGGGGGUGCUUCUCGCACUCAGGCAGCUCCCCCCAGAAGCGCCACUCCAGGAGCGUUCUUGGCGGGUGGGCCAGGUGCCUGCCAUUCCCGCGCUGCUCAGAGCCUCCUCCCGGACCCUGAGUGGUUCCUGGGGGGGUCCCGGGGCCGGCAGUUGCUGUCUCAGAGGUGGAAAGGGACGUGACGUGUUGUUACCUGCCUUCCUGUUGGGCUGUGAUACCUUAGAGUCCGAAGACAGUCGUGUACCCUCCUGGAGCUGACAGCUUAUCUGGUCUUGGGUCUGGAGAGACCGGGUAACUCUUCCCUCUGCGGACAUGGCCUCCACGGGCAAGCGUUCCCGGUGCUGCCCCAGAGGCUGUGCCUGUCAUCGGGGGGUCUCUGCUUGCUGUGGUCCCAGGACCGGGCUGCUGGGCACUGACUAGGUGGGGUGGCUGACCCAGCGGGGAGUGGGCCCAGUGGAACUUUUCUGCCAGCCUGUGGUCGUAGGGGCUCUAGACAGCACCCCUCGGUCGAGUGACGCCUCUAGCGGCUUCCCAGCAGAGGGACUGAGGACGUUUUAGUCUCUCCAGGUUCACCUGGGUGCCCCAGGGAUUAGAAAUCCCAGACAGAGAUUUCCAGAAAGUCUGGGGGCUGCGGGGGCGGGGGAGACAGGGAUGUGGUUUGCCUGGACGCAGGCACCUGAGGGCUCUCUCACUGGUUCUAGAAGUGCUUAGGGGCUGUGCUGGGGGGCAGAUGUCUUUACAGUGUGUUUGCUGUGCCACCUGUGCGUCUGUGCUGGCUGUCAGGACUCACCCCCAGCCGACUCAGGAAGAGCCAACGUACUGGGGGCGGGGGGGCGCGGGGGGGCGCGGGGUUGUGCCUCUGCCGUUACACCAGCAGGGAGGGUGGUCGGGGGGCUCGUGGCUCUGCUCGCUUACGGCCCACCCUCUUAGUCCGCUGGCCCCCGCUCUGGGCCGCCUUCUCUUUCCUUCAGCUGCACUGAUGGGUCUGUUGGAAAUUUCUGCGGAGGACACUUUCUAGACUCGGCUCUCUUCCUUUCGGCACUGCUGACAUUGGGCUUGGAUCGCUCUCUGAGGACGUCCUGGGCGCUGUGGGGGCUGAGCGGCGUCCCGGGCCCCACCCACGCGAUGCCAGGAGCCCUCCAGUCGUGACGGCCACAGAUGUCCCAGGUGUCGCCCACUGUUCCUGGGGGCAGGAUUGUCCCGGGUGAGAGCCCCGCCCUAGAGAUUUCCUGCCAACCUGCAGCUGUUGCCAUGAGCUGGAGCCCGUCUCGGGGCCUCCCAGGGUCUCUGGGCUUCCCUGGGUCUCGGGGCCUCCCUGGGGGUGUGGCCAGGCCUCCUUGGCUCUCGGUCCCGGUCCCGGACCUAUAAAGUACGGCCCUCCCUCGCCCCCCCGGAGCAGGAAGGCUCAGGAAGCAGGUGGGGAGAAGGCGAUGGCGGCAGGUCAUUCCAGCAGCCAUUGGGGAGGUGGCCUGUGCUGCCUUGUGGCUCCCUGGUGGCCAGGGUCACCCCACGCCCGCCCCGCAGGGGGCAGCUGUGCCUCCCUGCCACUCUGCUGUGUCCUGCUCCUUCCUGGUUUCCUCGCUGGCCGCCUGGCUGCAGGGGGAGGACUCGUACCGGCUGCCCAGGGAGGGGAGGGGAGGGGGGGGUCUGCCUUCUGUUCCGGGUGGAGGGCCCCGCAGCCAGGUGGGCCGGGGAGCUGGUCAGGAGAUGUCCUUGGUUGGUGGAGAGCAGAGAGCCCCAGCGGAUGCUGCACUGUCUCCUUCCAAACCCGAGGGCCCUGCUCGGCUGGUCCCCACCCACCUCGUGGCUCUCGCCCUGGCCCCCCGCUCCCCGGUGCCUCUCACCCCUGGGCCUCGGCUUCCCCGGCUGAGGUCGCUGGGUGGUGACCCCGGUGGAGUCCCCCGGUGGGAAUGGGACUCGGGCCACACGGCUAGUUGACAGGACACCGGUGGCCUUGGCGAAAACACAGUAGGCGAAACUCACUUUAUCUUGUUUUGCUCGACAUAUUUAGGGUCACGUAAGCGUGUCAUUGCUGUUAGAGGUUGUUGAGACGGUUUGUUGUCUUCUUCCCGUUUGGGUGUGUAUUUUAUAGUCUCGGUUCGUCACCCCUCGGAAGCUAAAUUUUCUUUGGAAAUGCUGGAUCUUAAGAAGUACACGGGACUGAGUAGAAAAUUAGCGCCCUUGCAACCAGGAGGCUCUCGGGAGGUCUGUCAGUCGGCCGUGUCUAGGGACCUCGGUUUCAGCCAGCCAGAUGUUGCCGGGGAUAAGCGUGUCCCCCACACCGUGAGGGGCGUAGCCAUACCGAAAGGUAUCUGUUGCUCAGCAGGAGUUGGUGUUCACUGCGCGCCUUGCGUUUUUAUCCGCUCUACCUGGCUGCUGAUGCCAGGGCCGCUUUGGGCUGGGGCGGGUGGCUGACUGGCCUGUGAAGUGUGGAGCGGAACCUUCACGGUCUCACGGUGGCCCGCAGGCCACACUCUGGCCGCUGCGGCCACCCGCAUCGGCAUCUCGGAUGGAAUCCGAGUUUUCAGCAGUCCUGCGAGUGAAUUCUGGUGCGGUCUCCUGGGUGUUGGGGACUGUUCCGUCUCGGGGCCGAUCUAGGGGCUGCCACACCGGGGCCAGAGGCAAGGGCUGGGCAGCUGUGGGGUUUCUUUGGGUCUUGAACCGGUCCCCACUGCUGCAUGGGGAGGGCAGCGUCCCGUGUGCCUUAGGUCGGCCAGCUCCUGGUGAGCCCUGCGCAGGUAAGUGCGGGUCCUGCCGUCGCCCCGAGCCCCUCACUGGGCCUGGUGCGCCUUCAGCUGUGCCGAGUGAGCUCUGUGUCCUCCCCGUGGGCUGCGCCUGUGGGGGCAGGGGGCUCGCCCAGGGCCACUGCGAGGGGCCGAGCGCGCAGCUUGGGGUCGCCGAGCCGGCCCUCCCACCUCUCCUGCGUCAUACACUUCCUGUGGCCCCACGGGCCCUGAGCAGGAGGCGUGGCCCCGGCUGUGGGCUUUCUGCACGGAUCUCCCCACUCGCUGUGCCUUUUUCACCAGCUUUAUUGACACAUCACACUCUCCACUUGGUUUUAGUCGAGACGAAUUCACAAAACCGGACAAAUUCACUGGAAUGUGCACCUUGGUAGGUUUGUUUUUUAAAUUUUUUUGUCUUUGAAGUUUAUUUCAGAGAGACAGCGCUUGUGCGUGCAUGGGGGAGGGGCAGAGAGCAUCCCAAGCGGGCUCUGCACCGUCAGCACGGAGCCCGACUGGGGGCUUGAACUCCGUGAGCCUGUGAGAUUGUGACCUGAGCCGAAAUCAGGUCAGAAGCUUAACUGAUUGAGCCACCCAGGCCCCACUUUGGGGGUUUUUAAUACAGUCACAGGGUUGUGCGACCGUCAUCUCUGUUCAAAUCCCGAGCGUCCCAUUGCCCCAAAAGAAGCCCCAUCCCCAUCAGCUGAGCCCCCGGUCCCCACGAGCCCCCUUCCCGUCCGUGGAUGAGUCUGUCUGGACGUUUCACACACGUGGGCUCACACCCCGCGUGGCCUCUCGUGUCGGGUUCCCUCCCUGAGCGUCGUGUGUUCGGGUCCGUCCACGGGGCGGCGGGGGUGGGCGCCUCGCUCCUGCUCGCGGCCGAGGGAUGUGCGCGUGCACGGUGGACGCGUGUGUAUCCGUUCACCCGCCUGUGGACGUUUGGGCUGUGUCCGCCUUUCGGCUGCUGUGAACACGGUUUCGUGUGGACGUGUGUUUUCGGUUCUCUUGGGUGGACACUGAAGAGCAGUGUUGCUGGGUCACUUGGUGGCUCCGUGUUUAACUUUUUGAGGAACCGGUGGCCGUUUUCCACAGUGGCCACUCGUGUCUCCUUCCUGGGUCAGGGUCCGAUCCCUUUCCGGGCACGUCUGCCUCCUGUGGGCACCCUGACCGGUUUCUCUGCAGGCCCGCCUCCCCGCUGCCCGGCACUUUCUAGAAAGCCGGGCUCCCGAGCCUCAUGCGGCAGGUCUCCCGGCUCCCGAGGCCGUGGGCUCCCCUCACCCACCCCCCUCUGAGCGGUGAGUCCAGUGUCUUCGAGGGACACGUGGGCCUUGUGAGGACACAGAGUCAGUGCCCUGGUUUUGGUGGUUUUAAGUGGCGGAAACGCCGUGCGUGCACGUGGGUAAGCACGUGCUGACCCUACAGGGGAACAUGAAAGGACGUUGGGAGAAGCCCCUCGGAGCCUGGCAGGUGGGCACCAUUGGCACUUCAGCGCGACACUGUGGGCAUCUGAAACACAGGAGCGCGCUCAACCAUGGGACCUGCCAGGCGGUGCCCGCCCUGAACGGCCGGCGCGGCUCUGACUGUGGGGGGGACAGAAACCCCUGGAAGGCCCCACGGAGGCUCAGGUGUGGGCUGAGUGGGGGGCACAUGGGGCACGCGCUAGACUCCUUCCGGGGGUGCUGCUGCCUCCGUGUCGCCUGCGUUGACGAAGCUGUCGGCCCUUCCGGCCCUGGCGAGAGUCACUGGGGUCCCUGGUCCGCUGCCGUGCCUGGUUCUGGGGGACGCGUGUGGGUCGAGGGGUGGUCCUUACCCUGAGGGAGUCCCUCCCGCAGGUAGCCCAGUGCAGCCCCAGUAGAACCAGAGAGAUGGGGCAGUGCCCUCUCUGUGCGUUCUGGGUGGUUUGCAGGGGCCUUGGGGGCCCUCCAGGGCCCACACCAUGACCUCCGACCUUUGCACGCCCGGAGGCUUCGCGUGUGCUGUACCCCGAGCUCACCCCUGAGGGUGGCCAGGCCUGGGGCAGAAGGGAAGAGGCUAAGCUCCGCCUGGCUCCCCUUCCUUCCCCCCUCCUUUCCCCUCUUCCCUGCUCCUCCGCACUCUUCCCCGCUCCUCCCCUCCCCCCUCUGCCCUCCUCUUCCCCCUCCUCCCCCCUCCCCCUCCUCUUUCCCACUCCACACCCCCUCCUCCCCCACUGUUGUGCAUUGUUUUCAUGGCGGAGUAUGCACUCACCUGGAGGGAGAAAGCGGAUCCCUGCGUGGGAAAGGCGGACGCGGGAGUCCUGGCGUUUCUCCCCACACCCCAGCUUGUGAGGGGCCCCUGAGCCCGAGAGGCCACCUCUGGGACCUCUGCCCACACACAGGGACAUGCUUUGUGGGGCUGGCACCAUCGCUGCUUCCUUUCUGUGCGGAGGCCACUGACCCUGCAGAGCGGUGGGCGGUCCCUUGUCCCCCUGCGGGCCUGUGGCAGUGCAGACGCCUCCUCCACCCCCUUGGAGGAUGUCCCCUACGAAGCACGGUUCUGCUGACGUCACGGUCUUUAUUCCCGCGCUCUUGUGGCUCCUGAACGCCACUCCUGUUCUCAGUCACCGACAGCCUGACCGGUGGCGAUGGUCUCCGUCACCGAUGAGCCUUGAACAACACGGGCGUUGGGGGCGCCGGCCUCUGACGGCCGAAAAUCCACGUGGAACGCCUGAGUCCUCCAACGCCGUUGACCGGAAGCCUCGCCCGCGCCCGCGACUAAACCUUCACCGUCACCGACACGGGUCUUUGUGUGCCUUACGGCAGAGCGAGCUAGAGGGAGUGAGCGGCCCCGGGAAGGUGGAGGAGGAGGAAGUGCUCUGCGGGGCCGCACCGAUGGAAAAGUCCGGAGUGCGUGGGUGCCAGCCCGCGCUUCCCGAGGCCGGUGCACGUGGCCCGCCGUCGUGGGGCCGUUUGUGUUUCUUCUGGGGCUUUGCCUGUUCUCUCUUUUGCGUCCUGUCGUUUCUGGAUAGUGUGCCAUCACCGUGAAGGUAGUGACCGCCCCUCCCUGCAUCUGUGUCCUCUUUUCGCGGGGACGCUGGUCUGAGGAGAGGGCCUACCCUGAUUUGCAAAUAGGGUCACGUUUCUGGGGGUCAGGACGUGACUUCUUGGGGACACAAGCCCGCCCACCCCGAGGACUGCUGUGCUGCUGGCGUCGCGGUCGCAGUCACGCUGGGCCGGUGGGCCCGCCAGGUGAGCGGCGCCCUGGGGACCAUCACGUGCGGUGGGACGCGCCUGCCCCCUCGACAGGCAGUAGCUCCGUGAAAAGGUGCGGGCGGGGGUUUGUGGGCACGGGCGGGUGCUUGCUGAUGAUGGCUGGUUCCAGACGUGCGCCCUCCAGGACAGUGUGCGCCGGCCCCGGGCAGCUGCCGAGCCCUGGCACACGUCCGGCACGACCGAGCGUGUUUCCGGUGACGUGACGGUGACUCCUUGCUGGACGGCUCCGCGUGGACUGUGUGCGGGGCGUUGGGGGGCGGGGGGGGGGGGGGGGAGGGUCAGUGCUGCCUGAGCAGCAGAACCCAGCCGGACGCUCGUGCCAUUAGUGGCCCAGUGUCUCACGCGAGCCAUCCGGUGGAGGGCCUGCGCCCGGACCAGCCACGCGGGCAUCCCUGCCGUCACCCCGGACCCCUCCCGUUUGCCUUCAGCCCUUCGUUACGGAAAUGUUCGGACGCAACCGGGUGCAGAGAGAGGCCCCACGGUCACCGGCCUCCCAGAUAUCAUUUCCUGCCGCUGGAGAUAGAGCAGGAGGUGCCGGCAGGUGACCCUGGGCCUCGCCAUGGCCCCACCGUUUGGAGGAGGGCUGCUGACAAUUCUUUCCUCGGUCCUGGUGGCCACAGUCUAGGCUGUGGGGCUUGUGGUCGGGACCUUGCCUCUCUUUUGUAAUCUGAUUAAUUCUGGGAGAAUUCUAGCGUGUCCAGAGGUCACAAGAAAAGUACAAUGCUCUGGACGCCCCUACUCUUCACGGCCCAGCAGCCUGUCACCUGUGCCUCUGUCCCUCGCCUGCCUUGAUGGGACCAGCCUGUCUCCUGUCCCUGCGUCCCGGCCAGGACUCUGGGCAGGAACCCUGUGCCCCCUCAGUGCGCCUGCGGGCUCACGCUCACCCUGGACAUCGGCCUUUCCCUCCUGGUCACUGAGAAGCGACCUCAGGCCACCCUUUUGGCACACGUGGCCUGUGUCUGUGGUUCCCACGGAUGACGGUUCUCCCGCUUUCACCCCGCCGGUUAGCUGGCAGCCCCCGCCGUGGGGGUCGGGGUGGGGUGUGCACUCUCCUCCCCGGUUUAUUUGGGGUUGGGGUCCUUCAUUGUAGCUCCACUGUGACGAUCCGUUUCUGCUUAACUUGCGUCAACACUGGCCUCGCCACGCGGGGCCGGUUGGGCUGGCGCCUGUGCCUGCCAUUUUGGGGCCGCUUCCUUCCUCUUUGUCAUAACGUGACCUCGCGGGUGACCUUGGACUUCUCGGCUGCUGCUACAAGGUCGGCCGUGUCUCCGGGGUCCAGGUCGCUCCUGGGGAGUGGCACCCACAAGGGGAACUCGGGGCUCCUGGGGCACUGUGACCCCGAGCCCAGGUGACUCUUGGGGAGGGGGCCUCGCCUACACGUCAGCAAGCUCGGGAGGGAUGCGCGUGCCCAGGGAUGCCCGGUUGGGUCCCGAGUGAGGCGCGUGCUUCUGAGUCCGCACCCACCACCGGCUCCUACCUGUGCUUAGGCAGGAGGCUGCCUGCGUCUGCACGUGCCCCAGCUCUGGGCCGGGGCUGGUGAUGUCAGCCAGGGACUGUGACAUCACUGAGUGGGGCCGGUCAGAGAAGGGGGUUUUUGGAGCCUCCACCAGGGGAGCUGGCCCCUGGCCCUGACAAGAUGGGGGACGCCCCCAAAACCACAGCAGGUAACUCAGCUGAGGGGGGCGCUCGCAGGACGGCACUGCCCCGGCCCGGAGCAGUCUCUCCAAAACCUGCUCGGUGUGGCCACGGCGGGCCGGCAGCUUCCAGGGGCUCUGCCUGGGCGCUGGGCAGUGGUCCCUGCGGUGGGGGCAGGACGCCGUCCUGCGGUGGGGUUCCUACCCCGUGUCAGGAACCGGGGCCCACGUUGGUUGCGUUGGGACGGGGUUUAUUUUCGGCCCGAGUGAGGGAUGGGAGGCCCUCUCCCCCAGGACAACUAUUUUUAGCUCUGGCACUGGGCCUGGGCCGACAGCAGACACUUCCGCUCCCCUGAGGUCUCGGGUUACCCUGCCUCCCCCAGGUAUGCCGGGCUGGGCCCCUGCCCGCUCCUGGGACCUGGAGCGCCAUCGUUCUCACUAGGCUCUGGCCCCAGACCUGUUUCAGCGGCGCUGUGUCGUCCCUGUCCCUGCUUCCCGCCCGCCAGCACGUGAUUCGCUCUUGCCAUUCCCCUGCGGGUCCCACCCGGCUUUCAGAGUGUCCCGAGGGGACCCAGAAUGCUCCCAUGUGGCCCGUGCUGGGUGGGGUGGCCCGCCAGGGCAUGCUGAGUUUGGCCACCGUCCGGAACAUUUGCAAGUCUGUGCUGCCUUUGGGGUUGUGGGGUGGUGGCCCUUUCCUCAUGGAUAGGGGCCGGUGUCCUCCGGGCUGUCCGUGGAAGGGGUCGCAGUGGAGGGCUGCUCCCCCGCCUCCACGGCGCCUGCCGUCCUCUGCGGGCGGUGACCCACGUGGCGGCCGUACACCCUGUUGUAAGGAGACCUACAGGGGCAGACGUGAACCAACCCUUAGCCGGCACGCGGCUUGGGGAAGCUGCUGUUGGGGGGCGCCGGCGUUGUGUCGAGGGACCUGUGGGCUCCGGGACCGGCGGUGGGGCGGUGCGUGCACGAGCAGGCCUCCAGCGUUGCGCCCGGUCGCCUGGUCUCUGUUGCCCGCUGGGCCGUCAGAGGCCCCCUUGGGACCGUGAGGCCACGAGGGGCUGCAGGGAGGCGCACGCAGAGGGAGCCUGUUGUGGAGUGGGGAGGCUGGUGGAGGCUGCUGCCAGACCCUGGACCCCCAGCGUCACAGGGAUCUCUCAGAGGGGACCCUAGAAGCCGUCCCACAGGGGCACGCGGGCCUCCCUGGCCCACAGAGGGCGGCUCUGCGCGCCCAGGAAGGGUUUGCACCCCAGAUCACGAGGCCGGGCGGAGAUAGAGGGCGUGCCUGCCCAUCUGGGGUGGGGACCGAGGGCGCCUCCCACCUGGAAGCGCAGGUGCAGGGGGUGAGGGGGCUGCUAGGGCCGAGGAGGGGCCUCCCAGGAGGGCUGCGGGCUAAGGUGCAAAAGCGGGAGGCGUCCAGAGGGGCGGCUCCUGUGUGCCUCGGGGCAGAGUGGUACAGGUACUUCCUGCCCCAGGAAGCCUGUGUGCGGGGUGGGGUGGGGGGUGGAGUCCGGAGCUGAGUCUCCCUGCCUGCAGAGGGGGUCGCCGAGCCCUCCCCAGACCCUGUGCUCUGCACCGCAGCCUCUCCAGCUCCGUUCUGGCGCCCUGUCCCGGCAUGAGCUCCUGUGUGCCGGGAACGGGUUGCUUCAGAAGGGCAGAGACCCUCCCAUCACUCGGGAGGCGCCCAGGGUUUGAGAAGCUGCGUGCCAGGCCCCAGGACAAAGACCGCAUCUAUCGUUAUUUGCCCCGAGUGUGUGUCCCCCUGGCUUCAUCUGCGUGGAGGCCGUCCCUGGCCGCCUGCUUCUGUGUGGCCCCGAGGAGGUCCCGCUCCUGGCUUCUGCCACGUUUCUUUGACGCUUCCUCUUCGGGGCGCGCCCAGGGCCCUUCAGCCCUGAGUUCUGCCGACAUCAGGACAGUGCACAUCGUGAGAUGAGGGCGAGUUCUGUCUCCUUGGAGUCUUUUGAUUUCCCGUGGAUCUUCCAUCUGAUUGACUCUGGCGGCCCGUGUGUGUCUGUGUCUGUCUGUCCAUGGUGUCUGUGCAUGUGUGUGUGUGUGCACGUGCAUACGUCCUUAAUUGCUUUGUGACGGAAGGUGUGUGUCUGGAAGGAAAGCAGGCAUUCGGGGGGCUGCAGACUAGAAGCGCACCCACCGCAGACCGCGGCACCGGGGCUGGAGGGCACCGUUGUGCACGGUGUGCGGGCUUCCGGGAAGUCGUGCUGCCAGUUGGAAGUUUCCGUCUGAGCCGUCAGGUGCACUUCCCGGUGUGCACCGGGAGAAACAGAAGCUCGCGUCCACACGGGAACUUGUGCACCAGCGUCCGUCCACACACACACUUCUCAGCACCCAAAGAUGGACACGACCCAGAUGUCCGCUGACAGACAAACAGGUACACUUGGUCCACCGCGCACGCACACGUCCCUCAGCCGCGAGCAGGAGCGAGGCGCCCACACCCGCCGCCCCGUGGACAGACCCUGAACACGUGACGCUCAGGGAGGGAAGCAGACACGAGAGGCCACAUGGGGUGUGAGCCCGCGUGUGUGAAACGUCCGGAACGGGCUCAUCCACAGACACGAAGGGGGGGGCUCGUGGGUACUGGGGGGGUGACUACUUGAUGGGGAUGGGUUUUUUUAUUUUGGUUGAUGGAAUGUUCUGGAAUUGGAUCACGGUGAUGGUUGCAUAACUGAAUGUAUUGAAGACCUCUGAAUCGUACACUUUUGGAGGGCGAGUUGUAUGGUAUGUGGAUCGUAUCUCCGUAAUGCAAAUAACAAUAAACUAGGGACUUCGAAGCCAAAGCAGGCAGCCUCCACCCUGCGGAGGAAAGAAGUGCUCUCUGGCUUUUCUCUUCGGAUGGACCUGAUGCCCCCACCAUGCGCGGGGAGCAAGGCUCUGGCAUGAGCUCAGGAGGGCGGCUGCAGCCGGUGGAGGACUUUGUUCUAAUAGUAAACUUCAGACUAGGGUCCGUCCGUGUAGACUCACCUUCAGGUGGACAGAGGUAUUCGCAGGCCUCUGGGCGCUCACGGUGGGCGGGGGAUGGGUCCCAUCGGCCCCAGACGUACACAUUCCUUCCCGGGUGAGCCCAGCCACCGUCCUGAGACCCCCAUCCCCCCUGCCUGUUCUAGGCCAUGCCACUGAUGGAGCGAGGAAGUUGGGGAUCUGUGCAGACAUCCUCCUUUGGGGUUGGGCCCUGUUCCUGACUGGUCCUCCAGGACCCACUGGAGCGAUGGCCCAGGGUCCCCAGGGCGCACCAGAGCGAUGGCCCCCAAGGCAGGCAGGGCCUGAGGUCUUCGUGGCCCAGGCAGGGGGGUGGGAGGAGCUUUCUAAGCGAUGCGGACGCGCACGUGUGUGCGUGGGCAUGUGUGUGUGCACCACACCCUGGACCCCCUCCGUGGGGGCCCCCCGGCCCUGGGCCGGUCAGCGUCGAAGGGAGUACUUGGGGUCAGGUGACACGGUCACUGCCUCCCUAGGACGUCCCGCAGCAAGGGCGCUUCCACGCCCUGCCCACCCCCCUCACCCAGCCUCGGUGUCGUUCCCUUGAGGUGAAACCGCUGCCUGCCCCUACCCGCGCUGAGCCCGGCGGUGCCCACACUGCCCUGUCUUCUGUCGCCUGGGCUCUGGCGGACGCUCACGGACGGUCAGAGGUGCACGGCCUCUGCAGGAUAUGGGAAGGCGUCCGGUGCCUGUGGGGCGGGAACUCGCAAGCUGGGUUGUGGCGCUCUGGGCCUGAUGGCGGUGUGGCCCCUGGCGCUGCACUCAAGACUCUAAAGGGGGACGCGUUUGGUAGGGGGCACUUAGAGGAGCUCGUUGGUGGUUUCUUUUUGAGGAGAUCCUUCAGCUUUGGCGCGAGCAGCUGGCGGGGGUUGCAGGCGGAGGCGUGGCUGAGAGGCCAGCUUGGUGGCAACCACAGGCUGCAGGGACGGGGGGGGGGGGGGGGGGGGGGGNGGGGGGGUGGGGGGGUGGUUGGGGAGGGCUGGGCCUGGGGACACAGACCCAGGGUGGUUUCUGUGGGCACCUGUCCCUCACUGCACGCAGCUGGGGUGGCUGCCUGCCUGCCCCCUGCAUCCUGGGGGCUGCUCAGUGUCUGCCCUGCCCUCCACAAGGCCAGCUUCGUACCCAAGGGGCCAAGGCCAGUCCCACCCUGGUGGCUCGCACGGCCUGUGCCCUGUCAACCUCGGAGCCCGCCUGACCUCCCUCGGCAGCUGCUGCCCAAGUGAAGCCUUGCCAGGGUCAGGAUCCUCCGCAGCCCCACCUGACCGCGGGGUCACAGGCUCCUGGAAUUAGGCCCAGGGACAUCGUGGGGUGGGGUGCUGUGCGGGGUGCAGUUCAGGGGCCUCUGAGGUCAGUGGUGAGGGCCUGUCUCCCAACCUUGGGCACAUUCUGCUCUGUUGUCUCUCUGCUCUCUACCGAGGAGCAGACCCUUGGCUUGGGGAGAGGGCCCAGCCCUCUCUGCACCCAGCCUUGGUCUCCACACCUGGCUUUAAGGCUCUAGGGCCCCUGUCACUUGACUGGCCGUCACCUCUGCCAGCAGAAUUGUGCUUGAGCCGUGGGGUGGGGGUCAGAGCUCCCCUCACACGUGCAAUUCACAAUGGCCUGAGUCACUGCACUCCUGUGCACCCCAGAAAGUCCCGGUCGCGUCUGUGCCUUGAGAGAUCUUUCCAGGAUGCCACUAUGCUGCACAAGCCUCUGUGGCGUGGUUUUCCGCUAACACCACAGUCUUGGGUCUCCCUGCCAGUCUGGGCUCUGGACCCUGGGGCUGCGUCGGGGGCAGGGGGACAGAUUCCGGCCUAGACUCUAACCUGUGCCUUCUUUUCUCUGCCAGCUGGGAGCCACGAGAUUUGAGGCGGCGGGACCGGUCAACAGAAUGCGUCCUCCCUCUGCACGCGACCCCGAGGCCACCGAGAUGAGCGCCACGGCCGGGCCCUGGCAAGCGCCCACGUCUCACUAGCAGGGAGCCCGCCGGGCCACCAUGGUGUACUAGCCCCGAAGAGCCGCCCGCAACCUCAGGUCUGCACAGACCCGGGAUUUGCUCGGCAGCAGAGUCACCGUGGAGAGGCCAGGGUACCACAAACUUAUGGAUUUUGACAAGAAAGGAGGGAAAGGGGAGUCGGAGGAGGGUCGGAGAAUGUCCAAGGCCAGCGGCCGGACCAGCCAUGGCGUCCGGAGCUCGGGGACCAGCUCGGGGGUCCUGAUGGUGGGCCCCAACUUCCGGGUCGGGAAGAAGAUAGGCUGUGGCAACUUCGGGGAGCUCCGGCUAGG